GGGACAAGGGAAAUGAAAUAUAUGACGAAGAUGAAGAAUGGAGGUUGAAAAUAGGGGCCAGGAGAUGGAAGUUGGAAACAAGAGACAUGAAACAAAUGACUGAGAUGAAGAAUGGAGAUUGAGAACAUAAGACAUGGACAUGAAACAAAUGACAAAGACGGAGGAUGGACAAAAUCAAUCAUGAGAUGGUAAUGUGGGGUGAAGCUUUAACAUCUAUCUCUCUCUAUAUCUAAAUGUCAUUUUAAACAUCUUUUUAUAAAAUUCUAUUUACAAACAAUUAUAAAUCAUUAAUUUAUAUCUAAAUUGCAUAAAAAGAUUCUUAUAACAAGAUUAUGUCUUUAUUGAGAUUAAUUGUAGUGCAAUAGAAUAACCAAGAUUUCUUGAGUGAAUUGGUCUCCUCUCAUUCCUUGUUGAAUACAAAAUCUCCAUGUGUAUUUGCAUGUAUG
rnacentral:lncRNA from 1 species